GAUGAACGCUGGCGGCGUGCCUAAUACAUGCCAGUCGAGCGAACGGACGAGAAGCUUGCUUCUCUGAUGUUAGCGGCGGACGGGUGAGUAACACGUGGAUAACCUACCUAUAAGACUGGGAUAACUUCGGGAAACCGUAGCUAAUACCGGAUAAUAUUUUGAACCGCAUGGUUCAAAAGUGAAAGACGGUCUUGCUGUCACUUAUAGAUGGAUCCGCGCUGCAUUAGCUAGUUGGUAAGGUAACGGCUUACCAAGGCAACGAUGCAUAGCCGACCUGAGAGGGUGAUCGGCCACACUGGAACUGAGACACGGUCCAGACUCCUACGGGAGGCAGCAGUAGGGAAUCUUCCGCAAUGGGCGAAAGCCUGACGGAGCAACGCCGCGUGAGUGAUGAAGGUCUUCGGAUCGUAAAACUCUGCUAUUAGGGAAGAACAAAUGUGUAAGUAACUGUGCACAUCUUGACGGUACCUAAUCAGAAAGCCACGGCUAACUACGUG
rnacentral:rRNA from 1 species